UUUAUCCGGCGGCCGCCAUUUAAUUCCUCGGUUGCAAAAACUUGAGAACAUUAAGCUCUUUUUGACAGCUUUCAGAACUGACAGUUUGCUCAUAAUUGCCUUUUGGAAACAGGACAAUGUGCUUUUGAUAUUAGGAUACUGUUCAGACAGUGAGGACAUCUCUGGACUCUACAUGGGAAACUAGUGACAAGAAGCCAAGAUUCAUUAAAAGUUCAAGACCAGCAAAGGCAAUGUUUCGUAAAACAAGGGACAAGAACUCAUCAGUAGGAUUUGAAGCGUUGCAUAGUUUGAGUAUUACCAGGUGAUGUUUGCGGUAGCACCAUUUGUAAACCUCUUGAGUAAUGUUGGUUCUAAACCAGUGGUUGACAAAACACAUUUUUAUCAGUAAUUUCCAUUCUCAAGGCAAACAUAAAAGUCAGGAACCAAACUUAUUAGUUUUGGUACAGCUUAAAAAAGAUGCUAUGAAAAUACAAGCAAGAGUAUAAAGCGUGGACAAUGAGUAAUUAUAUUGGAAAUAAUUCAUGAUGUCAGAUUUCACCAAUAACUUAUUAGUUUAAUGUUUAAACAUUAUAGUUUUAACAAACUUACUGGGACUCAUUCAUUGACAAAUCAGAGGAAAAACACAUCAGGCUAUUAUUGUCAGGAUUUUUGUCUUUGCAACUAUAGUAUAUAAUAUUUUAAUGUUUUAAACUGAACAUAAUGUGUUCUGCCCAAAUGAGAAAAAUUGUAACACUGAAGCACUGAGUUUGUGAAUAAAAUAUUGUUUGUUCA